rnacentral:ncRNA from 1 species
UGGUAUACUAAAAUUAUAAAUCAUAUAAUUGACCUAAUAUGGUGGUCUAGUUUCUACCACACAACCUUAUUGUGUGACUAUGAUAAAGAUUCUUGUAAUU